CUGUUUCUGGAGGAGAUAGACUACUCCAUUCUAAAAUGAUGUGACUAAUACUGUCAUUUUAUUUCUUGAGAAGAUUUUUAUGUACAUUUGUAUAAUAUGUAAAAAUACAAUAUAAUAAACACAAACAUAAUGUAUAAAUGUAACAUGCAUGAAUGCAGACAUGAAUGCAAGUUUAGUAACUCACACUUUAAUAGGUAGACCUAGGACCCUUAAGGAAUGAUAGCUUUUGUCAACAUCAUUGUUCCCCCAGCUGCUUCGGGGCUUUGUCAUAUUUUUAUACAAAAGCCCUAUUGUGCCUACUGCCCUUCUGACCGUUCAAGAUUCAUUGUUACUCUGACAGGCGCUGUGGAGGGGACAGGCGCAUUCACUCCUUUCUUUGUUCGGACCAGACCCAGUCCAAUUGGGCAGUGGCAUCCUCAUGCAAGCUGGUCUACUGGUGGCUGCCCCACUGACCUGCUUCUGAAUGGACAGGCAGGAAAGGUCUCCCACUGUGUUGCAUUUAAAGAAAAGAAAAAGAUGAAUGAAGUAAAAAACUCUGCAAACAACUGAGUGUAAUUAUUGG
rnacentral:lncRNA from 1 species